rnacentral:lncRNA from 1 species
CUUGCUGUGGUUUUUGCUCUGGGUCCUCUGGGAUGGCGCCUGGCUGUGGCCGCGUGGUCUCUCACGCAGGGGCGCCGGGCGGGGGAACGCGGCCACCCUGAGUCUGGUGAGUCGACUGCGGCGGCCUGUGUCCGAAGUGUCCGGGGCCGUGAACAAGGGCAGCGGCCUGGCCUCAGGCCUGCGUUCCCACGUUUGGAAACGGGGAGCUUCGUCGAUUUGUGUUUACAUCAUCGACUAUGCCAGGGAGUUCUCCAGAUAAGCCUGGUUUUAUUUUCGUCAGUGAAAAGGCCUUACCGUAUAACUGACUUUAUGCUUGCCCUGCCCCCGUAUAAAAUAACUUAAAAGCAGCGUGCCUGGUUACAGCUGUUUCCACGUGCGGUGCUCGUCGGGAGUGAUCACCUACCCUACAGGUGGAAGAUGGAUGCCUGAAGUGUAGACUGCUGCUAGCUGAAUACCAUCUGGGAGCAUAAAGGUGACCUGAAGGAUGUCCUUGGUGAGGAUUUUGAAAAUUUGAUCUUCACAAGAGUUGCCUGGAUCAUUUGAAAUUUCUGGGAGUCUGAGGAGUACUGACAUAAUUACCUGCUGGAGUCUGUAAAUACACAUUUAAGACAGUGAGGAUGAAACGACAAAUAAU